AAACCAGCACCUCGAGUGGUCAGGAGGAUUAUUGGGCCUAAAGCAUCCGUAGCCUGUUCUGUAAGUUUUCGGUUAAAUCCAUUAGCUCAACUAAUGGGCCGCCGAAAAUACUGUAGAACUAGGGAGUGGGAGAGGUAGACGGUAUUCGGUAGGAAGGGGUAAAAUCCUUUGAUCUAUUGAUGACCACCUGUGGCGAAGGCGGUCUACCAGAACACGUUCGACGGUGAGGGAUGAAAGCUGGGGGAGCAAACCGGAUUAGAAACCCGUGUAGUCC
rnacentral:rRNA from 1 species